rnacentral:tRNA from 1 species
GGGUCUGUAGCUCAGUUGGUUAGAGCGCACCCUGAUAAGGGUGAGGUCGGCAGUUCAAGUCUGCCCAGACCCA